GCAGGCAGUUCCAGUGUACAGAGUGUGAUUACAGCGCUGCACAGAAACCUCUACUGGUACGACACAUGGAGCAGCACGCCUCUUUCAAGCCCUACCGCUGCGGCCACUGUCACUACUCCUGUAACAUAGCAGGACCCCUGAAGAGACAUUACAGCAAGAAGCACCCCAACCAGGAGUACUGUAACGCAGGGCCUGGGCCAGCCACCUCUGAGGCUGUGGAGCAGCAAGGUGGAGUGAAGUGUCCUGUGUGUGACUAUGU